GACAAGCGGCUCAGCAGUUAGUCGGAAUCACUGGGCUUAAAGCGUGUGUAGGCGGGACGGCACGUCCGUCGCUGAAAUCCCCCGGCUCAACCGGGGAACUGGCGGGGAUACGACCGUCCUGGAGGGACGUAGGGGGACCUGGAACUUCCGGUGGAGCGGUGAAAUGCGUUGAGAUCGGAAGGAACGCCCGUGGCGAAAGCGAGGUCCUGGACGUUUUCUGACGCUGAGACGCGAAAGCCAGGGGAGCGAACGGG
rnacentral:rRNA from 1 species